rnacentral:tRNA from 1 species
GGCGGUGUAGCUCAGUUGGUUAGAGCACACGGCUCAUACCCGUGAAGUCCGAGGUUCGAAUCCUCGCACCGCCA